UACGUAGGGUGCGAGCGUUGUCCGGAAUUACUGGGCGUAAAGAGCUCGUAGGUGGUUUGUCGCGUUGUUCGUGAAAACUCACAGCUUAACUGUGGGCGUGCGGGCGAUACGGGCAGACUGGAGUACUGCAGGGGGAGACUGGAAUUCCUGGUGUAGCGGUGGAAUGCGCAGAUAUCAGGAGGAACACCGGUGGCGAAGGCGGGGUCUCUGGGCAGUAACUGACGCUGAGGAGCGAAAAGCGUGGGGGAGCGAAACAGGG
rnacentral:rRNA from 1 species